GGGAUAUUGGACAAUGGGCGCAAGCCUGAUCCAGCCAUGCCGCGUGUGUGAAGAAGGCCUUCGGGUUGUAAAGCACUUUUGUUGGGGAAGAAAAGACCGUGGUUAAUAACCGUGGUUCAUGACGGUACCCAAAGAAUAAGCACCGGCUAACUUCGUGCCAGCAGCCGCGGUAAUACGAAGGGUGCAAGCGUUACCCGGAAUUACUGGGCGUAAAGCGUGCGUAGGUGGUUCGUUAAGUCUGCCGUGAAAGCCCCGGGCUCAACCUGGGAAUUGCGGUGGAUACUGGCGGACUAGAGUGCGGUAGAGGGUGGUGGAAUUCCCGGUGUAGCAGUGAAAUGCGUAGAGAUCGGGAGGAACAUCUGUGGCGAAGGCGGCCACCUGGACCAGCACUGACACUGAGGCACGAAAGCGUGGGGAGCAAA
rnacentral:rRNA from 1 species